GUGGGGAAUCUUCCACAAUGGACGAAAGUCUGAUGGAGCAACGCCGCGUGAGUGAAGAAGGGUUUCGGCUCGUAAAGCUCUGUUGUCGGGGACGAAUGUGCAGUAUUUGAAUAAAGUACUGCAAUGACGGUACCUGACGAGGAAGCCACGGCUAACUACGUGCCAGCAGCCGCGGUAAUACGUAGGUGGCAAGCGUUGUCCGGAAUUAUUGGGCGUAAAGGGAGCGCAGGCGGGAAGGUAAGUCGGUCUUAAAAGUGCGGGGCUCAACCCCGUGAUGGGAUCGAAACUAUCUUUCUUGAGUGCAGGAGAGGAAAGUGGAAUUCCUAGUGUAGCGGUGAAAUGCGUAGAUAUUAGGAGGAACACCAGUGGCGAAGGCGACUUUCUGGACGAUGUCUGACGCUGAGGCGCGAAAGCUAGGGGAGCGAACGGGAUUAGAAACCCGAGUAGUCC
rnacentral:rRNA from 1 species